GACGAACGCUGGCGGCGUGCUUAACACAUGCAAGUCGAACGGUGAUGCUCCAGCUUGCUGGAGUGGAUCAGUGGCGAACGGGUGAGUAACACGUGAGCAACCUGCCCCAGACUCUGGAAUAAGCGCUGGAAACGGCGUCUAAUACUGGAUACGAAACUGGCCCGCAUGGGCAUGGUUUGGAAAGUUUUUCGGUUUGGGAUGGGCUCGCGGCCUAUCAGCUUGUUGGUGAGGUAAUGGCUCACCAAGGCGACGACGGGUAGCCGGCCUGAGAGGGCGACCGGCCACACUGGGACUGAGACACGGCCCAGACUCCUACGGGAGGCAGCAGUGGGGAAUAUUGCACAAUGGGCGAAAGCCUGAUGCAGCGACGCCGCGUGAGGGAUGACGGCCUUCGGGUUUUAAACCUCUUUCAGCAGGGAAGAAGCGAAAGUGACGGUACCUGCAGAAGAAGCACCGGCUAACUACGUG
rnacentral:rRNA from 1 species